UUUUUUUCUCGAAAUUUAUGAUUAUUAACUCUUUUUUUCUUUUCUUUUAGUUCCAAAAAAGGAGACAGCAAACUUUAUGGACGUCACAUAUAUAUAAAUAUAUCAAGGACAACACAACGUUUACGCUUCUUUCCGGAGGAAACAGAUUUUGAACGCCAGGCAAACCCUCAAAUGAAGCUGGACUUGUUGACUGGUCCUUUUACACUGCCGGCGUUCUGGGCGGGAUCAAUAACAGGCACAGCAAAAAGCUCAAAGUUGCAGCUGGCCAGUUUACAAUUCAAAUCUCCACACCCUCAAUGUAACUUUUUUUGGCUUUUUUCUCCUGUGGACAACUUGCCACUACCUUGCGUUACCAAAAAGAAAAGGCAAUUUCCCGCCGUUGUGCUGACCAAAACCGGACAAUUUUCGGUGCUUCCAAAAAAGCUUGAUACACCACCGGAAUAUUCCUGUUGGAGCAACACACAUCACAUAUAACAACACAUUACUCAACAAACCAUUGUUACAAACUACUUACACAAUAAAAAAAAAUCGCAACACACAAAUUAAAUUUUUCCACUUCUGCACUGCUCUCUAGCUAAGUUUCACCGGUAACGUCUUAUUCUUAACUUUGGCUUUUCUUAUGCUCGCAGCCUUUUAUACCCCUCUUCUCAGUGAAUCCCGCCAGACGCUCAUUUUCCACGAAACACCAUUUUCCUAAGCCAUUUUCAAUUUUCAUUCCUUUUUCUUUUCAACUGUCAAUAGCCAUUUUUUUAUUCUAUUGUGAAUUCUCAUUUCAGCUCACCCCGGAGUAGUAGUAGGUUCCCACCUACUCAGCAAUCAUAGGGCUGCCUAGUCACUUCGUAGCCUGAGUCACCCUGUCAUUCACUACCUUUAUAAUACUCUUUAACUCAACCCUGUUCGAGCCUAAUUUCGUACGUAGCGAACCCUAACAAACCAUUUCCGGCAUUUUGAUCCCAUCGCCACCCAGACUACACACCCCGCAGAAAUUACAAGCAAAUUGAAAUCUCGAAGCAUCCUCACCAUCCUCACUAAAAACCCAAGAAAACUGAGCAAAUCCAUUUGAGGACCAAUUAUGGGAUGCACUACCAAUAGAAUUGGGAUAAUUUCUGCGGUGGUUGUGGACAGGUUUUGCCAAAAAAACCCGGCCCCAUAUAUUUGUUGCCUUUUUGCGCCGAAUGUGAACGGCCUGCAACAAAACUUCAACUUCGGCCAGAAAAUCGAGGACGGAGGUGAUGUGCACGGCCGCAUUACUCAUUUACGUGGGGACAUCCCACUCCCUGAAGGUCUCAUGCCGGGCAUAAGCUCCGAACAGCAGGCUGGUCAAAGCCCUCCCCCUCAUGCUGAUCUGUGAAACAUGUCUUGCUGGUUCGCCUGAUAAUUCUCGAUCCGACACCCUGAAAUUAUCGUGUCACUAUCAAACAUCGAUCGAGUUCCCCUAUAGCAGGUCAACAUUUGGGAAGAUCAAAAACGCUCAUAAAUUUUAAAAUACGCAUUCAUUCAUUUAUAAAAUCCCGCAUUCAGUAUUUCUACUAAGACAAGCUCAGAGGAACGGAUGGGAUUUAUCGGCCCACUCCUUUGGGACCUUCACUACAAAAAGGUAAACAUCCGGAACAACCCAAUAAUUCUAUCAACCCAAGACCUUGUGUGGAGUUGGAAUAUAUUUGUCCUCUCCGGCGGAUCUACACUGGUAAUACCCACCAGCUUUCAAUGAAAAAUUCUCCGAUUCCAUCAAAAUUUCACACAUUCUUCUUGGUUAUGGAUAUAAUCUUCAAAGUUGGAAUCUAUACGUACUUUGAUACACAAAUAAUUUGAUCAAAUUAUUGAAAUCAUGGUACAAUAAAAAAGUAAGGUGGUGAAACAUUUUGCAUGCGGAAAUAUUUGUGCCUAUGCCUGUCUUGUCGUCGUGGUUGCCGAAGAACGGAUUUUAUAUGCGGUAUAUGCUGAUGUGAUUGAUAGUUCCAAAAAAGGAGACAGCAAACUUUAUGGACGUCACAUAUAUAUAAAUAUAUCAAGGACAACACAACGUUUACGCUUCUUUCCGGAGGAAACAGAUUUUGAACGCCAGGCAAACCCUCAAAUGAAGCUGGACUUGUUGACUGGUCCUUUUACACUGCCGGCGUUCUGGGCGGGAUCAAUAACAGGCACAGCAAAAAGCUCAAAGUUGCAGCUGGCCAGUUUACAAUUCAAAUCUCCACACCCUCAAUGUAACUUUUUUUGGCUUUUUUCUCCUGUGGACAACUUGCCACUACCUUGCGUUACCAAAAAGAAAAGGCAAUUUCCCGCCGUUGUGCUGACCAAAACCGGACAAUUUUCGGUGCUUCCAAAAAAGCUUGAUACACCACCGGAAUAUUCC